AGUGAACGCUGGCGGCAGGCCUAACACAUGCAAGUCGAGCGGCAGCGCGGGGGCAACCCUGGCGGCGAGCGGCGGACGGGUGAGGAAUUCGUCGGAAUCUGCCUUUUUGUGGGGGAUAACGUAGGUAAACUUACGCUAAUACCGCAUACGUCCUACGGGAGAACGUGGGGGACCGCAAGGCCUCACGCAGCAAGAUGAGCCGACGACCGAUUAGCUAGUUGGUUGGGUAAAGGCCCACCAAGGCGACGAUCGGUAGCUGGUCUGAGAGGAUGAUCAGCCACACUGGGACUGAGACACGGCCCAGACUCCUACGGGAGGCAGCAGUGGGGAAUAUUGGACAAUGGGCGCAAGCCUGAUCCAGCCAUGCCGCGUGUGUGAAGAAGGCCUUCGGGUUGUAAAGCACUUUUGUCAGGAAAGAAAACCCUGGAGCUAAUACCUUCGGGGGAUGACGGUACCGGAAGAAUAAGCACCGGCUAACUUCGUG
rnacentral:rRNA from 1 species